AGAAGAAAGAGGAAGAAUCUUUCCCCAAGAGACAUGAGAGGAGGUGUUUGUGACGUCAGGCAUGGAGGUAUAGCUAGCCAUGUGGCUGGAUGGAGCUCGAUGGUAGAGUUAACUUACAUGAGCUCGUUAUUUUCAAUAGCUAAGCAAUACAGCCGAAGUCAAGGAAAGAAAGAAAACACAGCUGUGGCUUCGAUUAACGUGAUGAUAAAUAUUCAUGCAAAACUAUUCAGCAUCAAGGACAUAAAAAUGCCAUGGGAAACAUUCCACACAAAUUACUCCAUAUGAGCUGAAUGGAAGAAUUUUUACAAAAAUAUGUACUCAAUUGGUUUCAAACAUCUACAUCAUCUGCAUAAUAUAUUCUAAUGUAUUAUGACAAGACAUAAUAUAUUCAAAUGUUAUCUAA